rnacentral:rRNA from 1 species
UACAGAGGUGGCAAGCGUUGUUCGGAAUUACUGGGCGUAAAGAGUGCUUAGGCGGUGCUCUACGUUUGGUGUGAAAUCUCCCGGCUUAACUGGGAGGGUGCGCCGAAAACUGGAGUGCUUGAGUGUGGGAGAGGUAAGCGGAAUUCCUGGUGUAGCGGUGAAAUGCGUAGAUAUCAGGAGGAACACCUGUGGUGUAGACAGCUUACUGGACCAUGACUGACGCUGAGGCACGAAAGCGUGGGGAGCAAACAGG